rnacentral:rRNA from 1 species
UACAGAGGUCUCGAGCGUUAGGCGGAAUCACUGGGCUUAAAGCGUGUGUAGGUGGAUGCCUAAGUACCUUGUGAAAUCCCACGGCUUAACCGUGGAACUGCUUGGUAUACUGGGUGUCUUGAGUCACUCAGGGGCGAGCGGAACAAAUGGUGGAGCGGUGAAAUGCGUAGAUAUCAUUUGGAACGCCAAUGGUGAAAACAGCUCGCUGGGGGUGCACUGACACUGAGACACGAAAGCCAGGGGGAGCGAACGGG